GCCGGGGGGCAGCUGGGGGCUGUGGGCACCGAGGGGAGCUGCGGGUCAGGCCUUGGCCCCUGUUCGAGCUGUGGUCUCUCCCGGUGUGUGCAGCUGCGGUUCGAGGUGCUUUGUCUUUUCCCGAAUGUUUGGUUGGUUUGUUGUAGGGUUUCUUUGGGGUUUUUUAAUCAAUUUUAUGUCUUUUAAUGCCUCUACGGCAAAAUGGUUCCCAAAUCUCCACAUUCCUACUUAAAUCUCCAGCCUAAACAUCUGUGUGUUUGUUUGCAGGCCAGCAGUGUUUUCCCAUUCAGUUUCCUGCUUUAAUUCGUUUCUAUAAGUACAUCAAGAGUUGCUGUGUCUUCUCUCGCCCUCCUAAGCUAGAUGUGCUGAGGGAAUUUUGCCUUUUUUAAAGCCUUUUGUAAAGUAAAUCCCGUGGGUAACACCAAGCAGCAAUGGCAAGAAGACUAAAAAUUAGAGAAGAUGCUCUCAGCUUUAUGGAUCUUGGAGAUGCCACAGUUACGCAACAUUUCCCCACCAAACACUGCUGAAUGCAGAAUGUGGGCACUGGACAAACGGCUUCUCCUUCUUGUUCCAGCAACACCAGCAUCUUCACUCUUGCCAUACAUAUUUCAAGAAGAUGAUUAUGCUUACACAGCUUCUGUUGCACAGAUUCAGUUCCUUUAAAUUACCUGCAGAGAGGCAGAGAUUUGGCCCUUAAUGAAUUUAAUUCGUUUCACUUGGCUGCCGGUAGAUGGCUCCCUAAAUUUGCAGUCCCUUAUUUACUACAUUGUUUAUUGAAUGAUGUGGGACACAUUUUCAGUGGAAAAUGUUUCCAGUGUGUUUGCUUGGAGGAAGUUUACGUAAGAAGAACAAGGAAGCAAUGGACUGAGUAAAUAGACUGUUACCAAACAAGACACAGGAUUGGUUUGCUUUUUGCAAAAUGGUUUUGGGCUGCCAUCCAAAAGGUUUUUCUUGUGCAGGACUUGUAACUCAUUGAGCCUGAUAAUUAUAAGAUCAUCUGUGUUUGCAGGAUGCAUUUAUCACAUCUGAG
rnacentral:lncRNA from 14 species